CGGUCUUUGUGGGAAAGAUGAGACAUGUAGUAGUUUAUCACCUCCGCCUGAUUUAUCACCUCCCCCCAUAGAAAACUCAAAACGAGAUUGCGCUUUUAGAAUUGUACCUACGACGUCCGUUUAGCGCAAUAAACUUCAACAACAACAACUUAAAGGAAAGACAAGGUCAACAAUUCUAGAAAUAAAAUUUACUCGGUCUGUUGUGAUGUUCCAGCUCCAUAUUUUAGAAAGGAGAAAUGUUUGCGCAAGUAAAUAAAUUGCUGCUAUCUAGAACAUUUGGAAUACAGUCCAUAUGGUACCAUCGACUUGGUAAUAGUUCACUCAGAGGAUUUAUAUAAUACAAGCAUUUUUCCUUUGGUUUGAUUAUCUGGAACAAAAGUGACACUGUUUAAUACCAUAUGUUUCCUUCGAAUCAGAGCAGUUUUUUUGGUAACUUUUCCAACGACAGCAAUCCGGCUGGUGCUAGUACUUCAAUUGCAUUCUUACAUGUAAAAAAAAAACUUUAUUUACGAAGUAUUGUUACUUACCUUGCAAUGUUUAUUUUAUAAAAACAAAGUAUUGUUAACCGGUUAACAAUUGAGGAUUUUAUUUUGUAGAUUUGUUACACAAUAAAAUAAUUUUAAUACAUAA
rnacentral:lncRNA from 1 species